AGGAGUCAAGAGAUUCAACUCUGUGCAAUAUGAAGUCAGGUUUCAUUUUGGGAGAUUGUGCUGGUGGCACGGUGGAAAAUGGAAUGGGAAAAGUAUGAGCAACAACAGCAAGAAGAAUCCUAGGGUAAUCCUUAAGAGACGAGCCCUUAAAUGAAUGUAGUAGCAUUGACAUAGAUAUAAGUGACGUUAAGGAGGUAAUUUUAAAUUUUUACACACAGCAAUUAGCAAAAAAAAAAUUAUUUUUUCCCUCCAAAAUAUAGUAAAAGACUCCCACCCCCUUAUUUUCAGUUUUUGGAACCAAAAUAUGGCUAUUUUCACUGUAAAGACUGUAAGACCAGAUGGGAGAGUGCUUAUGUGUGGUGCAUUUCUGGAACUAAUAAGGUAAGUAAAAGUAAAUGGGAUAUGACAGGAGAAUGGGGUGGGCACAGAUGUCAGUUGGAAGAAGGAUCUGUUUCUAGUUGCAAGAUGACUUUACAAUCCUGUCUCAAUCAUCUUGGUGUCCUGGGUGCAAAGCAUGCAGUAAGCAUUCAGUGACUGUUUGAAUCAAACUAAAUUCCACGGUCCACCUCAGUUCCUGAGCCAUAUCCUUGUGUUGUAUGUGGUUUGGUAGUUUGGUUGGACAAAGUGUCAGGUUAUUUAGAAGAACUUUUGUCUAUGUUGGGACUCUAACAACUUUUUAGCUGGUGUAUUUUGAACAGAUUUCGCCUCUAGUUUGAGGAAAUUUCCAGUUUGUCCACAAGGUGGGGCAAUGAAAGAAAUAACUUACAAAGGUAGAAAACUCCUAAAGAGAUUUGCUUAGCUAAGACUGUGUAUACACGCUACCCACAAUGGAGUUAAUUCUCAACAUUGAGAUUGGGAAUGACUUCACAUUCUGUUCUGCAUUUCUGGAUUUUCAUGAAUAUCACAGACUCUGGUCAUCAUGGACCCUCAUUUCAGAAUGAGAACAGGAUGCAGCUGAGUGGCUUCUGUUUUGCCUGGCCUAUGGGCUUCAUUUGGCAGUCAUCUACAGUGGGUCUAUUGCAUUAACUUAGAAGAGCAUCUGAGUUUGUGUUGCAUGUGCAGAUAUGGCCUUUCUAACUAAAGGCCUGUGGAGGGAAAGGACAAAGAGGCACACUAAGACUUGAAUGAAGACUUGUGUUUUCAGACUAGCCAUUUACUGGACCCAGGAGGUGAAUUUUAAACUAAAAGCCCCCUCUCUCGAUAGAAGGAAAACCAUGGGUUUAAUUCAGACAUUCCAAGGCAGUAGAAUACAAAGAACAACACAGUUGUCAUCCUCAAGAAAUGUAUUCUGAUAGGAGUGAUUUAGACAAGAAUGCAGUUUGAUGAUGUGAGCAGUGGCACUCACUGCAUGGAAGUGGUAAUCCCACAGGAGGCAACGAUUAACCUGAGGGACAGAUCCUGAUGCCCAAACAGGGCUUUGAGGACAAAAGGGAGGAAUUCACCAAGUAGGGAGGAAAUUUUGUACAGGAAAAUGCACAAAACCUAGAAAAUGGUACUGAUGGGUAACCAAAAUAAUUUACAUUUCAAGUGGGGCAAUACUGGAAAAUGUAACAUGUCAAGUGGCUUAAGUUGGGGUUCAUUCAGAAGAAAGGCUUGGCCUACACAAUGAAUAAAACUAUCAUAACAGCUACUUUCUAUUAUUGAGUCUCUAUUAAGUAUGUUAUUGGGUGGUUGUCAGAAAAGAAUAAGUAGUAGUAUUCCAAUUUUAUAGUUAAGGAAAAUUAGAUUCAUAGAUUAAGAAAGGUGAUGACCAGUAGCACUAGUAGAGCUUAAAACCCCAAGGGUAGAGGUUGGAUAACAGCAAGGUGAGGAAAUGGCUUACUUUAAUAAAAAACUAAUGGCCUAGGAGAUAUAUACCUAUAUCAGCUUGUACUUUAAACAAACAAACAAAUUUCUUCUUAGGUUUAUUUCAAACAACUCUGUUGCAAGUGCCAAAAGAGUUUUAACCCUUAUCGAGUAGAAGCAAUCCACUGUCAGGUAAGCACACA
rnacentral:lncRNA from 1 species